UACGAAGGGGGCUAGCGUUGUUCGGAAUCACUGGGCGUAAAGGGCUCGUAGGCGGCCAACUAAGUCCGACGUGAAAUCCCCAGGCUUAACCUGGGAACUGCGUCGGAUACUGGAUGGCUUGAAUUCGGGAGAGGGAUGCAGAAUUCCAGGUGUAGCGGUGAAAUGCGUAGAUAUCUGGAGGAAUACCGGUGGCGAAGGCGGCAUCCUGGACCGACAUUGACGCUGAUGAGCGAAAGCUAGGGGAGCAAACGGG
rnacentral:rRNA from 1 species